GCCUACGGGGGGCAGCAGUGGGGAAUAUUGCGCAAUGGGCGAAAGCCUGACGCAGCGACGCCGCGUGAGGGAUGAAGGUCUUCGGAUCGUAAACCUCUGUCCGCAGGGAAGAACGGUCACUGUGCUAAUCAGCAGUGAAUUGACGGUACCUGCAAAGGAAGCACCGGCUAACUCCGUGCCAGCAGCCGCGGUAAUACGGAGGGUGCGAGCGUUAAUCGGAAUUACUGGGCGUAAAGCGCUCGUAGGCGGUAUGUCACGUCACGGGUGAAAUCCCCGCGCUUACCGUGGUACCUGCCUUUGAAACU
rnacentral:rRNA from 1 species